AAGUGACAGAAAUGCAGAUGUGCCAUCUGAUGUAUCAUCCACUUGGAAACAACUUCAAAAAAUAAGGAAAGAACAUGGGGAGGGAUUCCUCUGCCACCGCAUGUGGUGGGUUGCCACCUGCAGUUGCCACCAUGCAGGAGGUGCCAGGGUGCCUCCCUCCUCUUGCGCAGUGGAGGUGCUGGGUGGCCUCAUGUGCACCCCCAGCCUUGUGGUAGAGGUGUUAGUGGAAGCUCAUGGGAGGCCACUCCGGACUACACCACAACAUCUCCCAUGCACUGGAACAGAGCAAUUGCUGUAUUUAUUAAAAGUUUGGAUGUUUGAAAGCUCUUGACACAAGAACUCACACCUGCACAUUUGCAUUACUGGAGAAAUUUCUUUUAUACUCAAAAUCAUGGAAGCCCAAUAAAUUCUCUUGUGAAGGCUUUGCAUCAAUGUUGGCAGGACUUGCACUCCAUGCUGUUCGUAUAGUGUUUUCUUCUUCUAUAAAAGUUUUAGUGACUUUUGUGUAAUUGUUCUCUUUUCCUGCCCUUUCAGAGAUAUGAAGUGUAUAAUUCCAAGUUGAGUUCACAGGAUUUAUGUGUGGAAGGGGGGGCAUAUUGUAGUAGUAUGCAUGGCUCUGAUUAUCAGGAUAAGAUAUCUCAGCACCAAUUAAAACAGAAUUCAACUGUUCUCAACCAUACCAAACCUUUCUCUAAGCGGAACUCUUUUUCGGAUUUGUAUGAAGAUUCUCCCAGAGAAAAAAUUGCUUACAAUAGCAAGAGGAAACAAAGAAUGAGUGGCAACUGUGGUGCUGAAGGGUCGGAGAUUGACUCUGUUGCUAACGGCCAUGGUCACUAUGAUGGGAAAAUUGGAAGCAAGUUGCAUGAUUAUGAUGAUGUCAGCCCCAACAUCAUCAAAAGGAAUGAAACUUUUGAAUUGAAGCCUUCAAUUCUAAUACGCAACCUCUGCAAGUCUGCUGAUAAAGAAGAGAGAGGGCCAUCUAUGAGAAUGAAAAAGAAGAAGAAAGUCAAUGAAAAAUGGAAGGGUAUAGAAGAAUACAGCAACCAAGUUAAAUUAAUAAACCAUCCAUCAAACAAAAUGACAUAUGUAUGUACAUGCAGGGGUGUGUGACUUGCAGUGUUUUGCCUUGCUAUUGAUGCCCCCUUUAAUAUUGAAGGUUGAAAAACGAGUCAGACCUGAUCUUCCUAAGCCAGACUAUGUGAAAAGAGCAUCAUUAACUGGAAUGCCGACAUGGAAAUAUCAGUGCAAAGGAUCUGUCAUGGGGAUUCCAACUAGCUUCAGCGCGGAUGAAACUGCAGAAACCAGCUCUUCUUUGUAAGGUUUAAUGUUCUCAAAGCGAAGCGCAUGUACAGUCCAAUGGAGAGUCACUUCUCUGGAGCAUUAUCUUCAUGAGCAACAAAGUUUCCACUGGUUACCAAUAUCUUCUGCACUUGCAGUGCUCACCAGUUUAUGUGUAGAAAGAAGUUCUUUAUUUUCUUUUGGAUUUUACUGCUGUAUGGAGGAAAACGUUGCAAACUAACACGCUUGACUGUAAGAAUCAUCUGCCUGGAUCUUCUAACUAUCAAAGUAUGGAAAACAAUGUUCACGAAUUUAUCACUACUGUUUCAGGUCAAGAAAACAAUGGCAGCGUUUCUGCAUGUGGAUUUUCCAUGCUUCGAUUUAUUAAUCAGAAGAAUUAGUUUA